UACAGAGGUGGCAAGCGUUGUUCGGAAUUACUGGGCGUAAAGGGCGCGUAGGCGGUCUUGUAAGUCUUGUGUGAAAUCCCUCGGCUUAACUGAGGAACUGCACGGGAUACUGCGAGACUUGAGAUCGGGAGAGAAAAGCGGAAUUCCACGUGUAGCGGUGAAAUGCGUAGAGAUGUGGAGGAACACCAGUGGCGAAGGCGGCUUUUUGGUCUGUAACUGACGCUGAGGCGCGAAAGCGUGGGGAGCAAACAGG
rnacentral:rRNA from 1 species